CAUGACAUACAAAUUUACAGUUAAUUAUAAAAACAUAGUUGAUAUAGAUACAAUUUUUUACAGCGUCAUGGUUUAUACAGUUAUUACAGAAUCAUGGUAAAACAGAUAGUUGUAUAUAGAGAUGUAUUAUAUAGUAUCAGACCCUAUUGGACCAUAUAGUUACAGAGCACGAUACCGUAGCUACAUACAGUAUAUAGAGUGUGACCACCUAUUUAGAUAAUACAUGGUGUAAAGGUCAAUCGCAUAGAGCCCACGAGUGGACAGACUCCCCAUCAGAUAUGGGUAGAGGAGGGCUGAUAAGACCUAUGGAGUAUAGUGGUCUAUUCCUGGUUGGCCAGUUAGGGUAGAUCCCGCCUACGGGCCGCACAACCCUGUCAUGAGGGAUUAAAUCCUGACACACAGUUAUCCACAAGAAAAAUUUUAGUUAUUACUAUGUUUAUACAGAUGUACAGAGACAAAAAAUAUAUAUAUUUAUUAGAAGUAUUUUGAGUAGAAGCCUAAAGUAUAGAAAUGUUAAGCAAUAGAUAAAAGAUAAUGAUUUAUAUUACUGGUAUUGUACUUUACAUAUUCAGUGAUACAUGAUCAUAUAGUAAUAAAUUUUUACAAUAUUGUAACUCAUUUGCCACACACUAGCAAUAGCAUAUUUCGUCUUACUGAGCAUUGGCUCAUCCCAAUUAAUUUAACAUUUUUCAGGUGAUUCAGGUAGGCAAAUAGAUCAGGCUCGCAGAUAGAGGGGCUUCAGUACUGCCCUAUUAAUAGAGAGUGAGUAAUUGUUUAGAGUAUUUUUGUAUAGCCCUAACCAGUUGUGGGUAUUUUGGGGAACAGUCAUAUAUGUAUAUAUUGGGAAACAUUUUAGCACUCUGGUAUUGUAUAUAAUUAUAUAUACUUAUGUUUAUUUGAUUUCUACUUCUCAUUGCUUAGGUUGAUGAUUGAGUUUAAUCCAGUGUGGUAUUAGAGCAUUUUAAAUGUUAUAGUAUAAAAAAUAAAAAAUAAAUCCAGUUAAAUAGCAGGUCGUUACAGUUUAUGUUUGGAAAAUCAUGAUUUUAGAUUACGAAAUGGGUGUGGUUUGUUUGGUUAUAUGAGCAUGCAUGGUUGUGUUUUGUUGGAGUGCAAUAGGAACUGGGUUUCAAAUUGUUUCAGGUACUAAAAAAGUGUCCGACUCUAUAUCCGAGGGCGUGAGCCUUAUCGGCUGAUCACCGAAGGGUGUGGAUCCACCAAUUGUAUAGGUACGAUGUCAUGGGAGUCUGGAACUACGCCAUGUGUUGGGGACGCCGUGUAAUGCGGGCCGGCUUCGAGCCAAAAGGUCCUUCGAGUAAUCGGAACUAGCGUCCUUGAGUUGGGAGUAUAAUGGUCGGUGUACUGCGAAUAGCGCUUGUAUAAGUGCUAGGACAGUUGUUUUUGGGAUAUGGUUGACA